AUUGAACGCUGGCGGCAGGCCUAACACAUGCAAGUCGAGCGGAAACGAGAAGUAGCUUGCUACUUCGGCGUCGAUCGGCGGACGGUGAGUAAUGCCUGGGAAAUUGCCUUGAUGUGGGGGAUAACCAUUGGAAACGAUGGCUAAUACCGCAUAACGCUUCUGUUUGUAAUGAACGAGAGCCAAAGAGGGGGACCUUCGGGCCUCUCGCGUCAAGAUAUGCCCAGGUGGGAUUAGCUAGUUGAUGAGGUAAUGGCUCACCAAGGCGACGAUACCUAGCUGGUCUGAGAGGAUGAUCAGCCACACUGGAACUGAGACACGGUCCAGACUCCUACGGGAGGCAGCAGUGGGGAAUAUUGCACAAUGGGCGCAAGCCUGAUGCAGAUAUGCCGCGUGUAUGAAGAAGGCCUUCGGGUUGUAAAGUACUUUCAGCAGUGAGGAGGGUGGAUGUGUUAAUAGCACAUUCAUUUGACGUUAGCUGCAGAAGAAGCACCGGCUAACUCCGUGCCAGCAGCCGCGGUAAUACGGAGGGUGCGAGCGUUAAUCGGAAUUACUGGGCGUAAAGCGCAUGCAGGUGGAAGAUUAAGUCAGAUGUGAAAGCCCGGGUCUCAACCUCGGAAUAGCAUUUGAAACUGGUCAUCUAGAGUACUGUAGAGGGGGGUAGAAUUUCA
rnacentral:rRNA from 1 species